AAUGAAGGUGGAUGUGGAGGGGGCUGAGGUGGUAGACGGGGCUCCAGUCAUGGUAGUUUUUGUGGUCGUUGCCAUGGUGGUUUUAGCAAUGGUGAAGCUAGAGAAGGGACACUGAGGAACCUAUUGUUGAAAAUGAAAAGAACAUUGGUACUGAGAAGCAGCCAAGCGAGGAGGAUACAGUUGAUGCCAAUGGGGACAGUCUUGCAAAUGAGCCAGAAUAGAAGGAACCUGAGGACAAGAGAUUACUUUGGAAGAGUAUGAGAAAGUUCGUGAAGAAAGGACGAUAGCUUUGCUUUCUACAAAGCCUGAGGAAAGAAAGGUUGAUGUGGACAAAGAGUUUGGCUCCAUGCUUCAGCUUUCAAAUAAGAAGGGCAAUGAUGACGUCUUUAUCAAACUAGGUUCUGAAAAGGACAAAUGAAAGGAUGCUAACAAAGAAGACAAAACCAAAAAGGUGUGCAUUAUUAUGUGAUUCUAUCUUUUAUAAUUUAACUAGUAUCACUGUAUGAUUGGAUGUUUUUAUGAUCUGCUAAUGUGCUUAUCUGUUGUGAGUUUCUUUGUUUUUAGCAUAUGCGUUGGAAUGUUUCAAGACUUGAUUGUUUUUGCUAAUCUUAAGUUUAUUUCUAUAGAAAGGACAUCAAUGUGCUACGUGUAGAAGUUCCAUGAUGGCCAAUAUAUAUGGGAGUUUUGAGUUGCUCUAACAAAAUCUUUUGUCUGUGAUCUCAACUUUCUUUAAAAAAUAGCUAUGAUAUUCCUUUCUGGGAAUUCAUCUUUCAAUAUGGUGUUGGGCUUUUAGCUUUGCUCAGGUUUUGUUAGGUUCCUUGGUGCAACCAGUUACUGGAAUUCCCACCAUUUUUUUUUGUUGGCAUUUCAACUUCUGUAUCAUCAUUGAUAAGCAAUAUGUUUAUUUUGAGCCAGGAGAAUGUUUGUCAUGGCUGUGACCCUUGUUUACCUGAAAGGGUUGAGGUCACAAUGUUACGGUCUUUGGUUUAGAUAAGGCCUGAGUGAAUGUUCUUGUAGCGAUUGGAUUUGUUCUAUCAUGUACUUUUUGUAAUCAUGAAAACAAAACUUUGAAUCAUUGCUUACUACGUAUUUGAAUGCUUAAAAUUUUGUUUUUAAUAAUAUUUUUAGUUCUUUACAUGUUCUGUAUUGAAUGCUAAAUUGGUAGUUGCUUUUAGUCUGUAAGCAUAAACGAGUUCCUAAAGCCUGUUGAUGGGGAAAGAUACUAUAACCCUUUUGGUCAUGGUUGUGGACGUGGCCAUGGUUCAAGAGGUGGAUACGGUGGAGGCAACACACGUGAUGCAGUUGCCCCCUCGAUUGAAGAUCCUUGGCAGUUCCCCACCCUGGGUGGCAAGUGAGAUCUUACAUCCCUAUUUCAAAGUCGUAAUGGUUGGAAUUUCUUUGCAAUCUGCUUGAGAGUAAAAGUUGAAGGUCAUCUACUGGAAAUUUUAUUUCCUGCAUUAAAAAACCGACUUUUAACAUUUAGUCUUUUGGUGUAAAUUUUAGAUAUUCCUCCGUGGGUAUCUCCCUGUGAUUCCUUCUCGACUUUGACAUGCUUUCAUACUCCAUUUUAUUUUUGUUUUUAUUUUUUAUUUUUGGGUCUAAGUUAGGGAAUGUGGAGUCAUUAUUGUCUUGGACUGAGUAGUGGCAUCAGUUUUGGUUUGUAGUAGGUGAAGAGUAAUUUUUAGUCUUUGUGAUUAUUAUUUUUUUUUUAAUUCUCUAUGUUGUGUUUCUUAUAGCUAUUUUUCAUUAAUGCUUCAAGAGAAAUGAAUUUGGUUCGUUGUUGGUUAAAAGCAAAGUUCUCGCUUGUGAAGGUCUGCUUUGGCAUAUGAACUUGUGGCAUGGUUAACUUGACUAGAUUGGGAAUGAUGAAUGCCAUACCCUCAAGUCUCUCGAACGCAAUUUGGUACACUUGCUUUGGGGAGAAAUUAUAUCCUCAUCCGGUGAUUUUAUGCAGGUUUGCGUGUGGAAUAGUAAAUGAGAUAAAAUGCCAAAUAAGUGAUAAUGAGUCUAUGUAAUAACUGGUAAUGGUUCUUAUAAAAUGCAGUUAUGUAAAUGUAUUAAAAACAUGUGUUUUUUUAGAAAAAAAUAAUUAUUAUUUUUUUAAUUUAGUUGUCAUUUUUUAAUUAGAUUGUAAUAUACUUGAAUGGGAUAACAGGAGAAAAC
rnacentral:misc_RNA from 1 species